rnacentral:rRNA from 1 species
GACAGAGGGUGCAAACGUUGUUCGGAAUUACUGGGCGUAAAGCGUGUGUAGGCGGUCUGAAAAGUCGGGUGUGAAAGCCCUGGGCUCAACCCAGGAAGUGCACUCGAAACUGCCAGGCUAGAGUAUCGGAGAGGUUGGUGGAAUUCUCGGUGUAGAGGUGAAAUUCGUAGAUAUCGAGAGGAACACCGGUGGCGAAGGCGGCCAACUGGACGAAUACUGACGCUGAGACUCGAAAGCGUGGGGAGCGAACAGG